UCUUCUUAAUCCAAAGUUUGGCGUGAUGACCCAUGUAUACUUAUUGCCAAUUUCGAUCACCACUUUAGCGCUGGAACCUUCCACGCAAUUUCUCUGACAAGUGUAGCCACUGCAGUGAUAACAUUUUGGAAAAGACAUUUUAUAUCUGGGAAUCUAAAAUGUACUUUUGAAAUCAACUGCAGCCACUUCAUCUUCCUAAAAUAAUACAAAACCGCCUUAAAAUAGAAUAGAAGAGAUUAUAUUUCGCUUCCGGUGUAAUAAUCACGGUAAUAUGGCAUAUUUAGAUCUUUCAAUUGUGCAUUUAAAAAAUUUAAAAUUUUAUUGUGAAAAAUGAUAUUAAAUAUCAGUGUAUCCGAUUUGCGUGAGCAAAAACACGAUAUUUUAAAUAAACACGAACAUACAAAUCGUUCAUAAA